CCCCUAGAUGUUCUGGGCCGCACGCGCGCUACACUGAACAGUUCAACAAGUCUUAACCUUGGCCGAUAGGUCUGGGUAAUCUUUGAACGCUGUUCGUGAUUGGGAUAGACCUUUGCAAUUAUGGGUCUUCAACGAGGAAUUCCUAGUAAACGCAAGUCAUCAGCUUGCAUUGAUUACGUCCCUGCCCUUUGUACACACCGCCCGUCGCACCUACCGAUUGAAUGAUCCGGUGAAAUCUCGGGACGGCGGCUUGGUCGCUUGCGUCCGACUGCUGAAACUUGAUUAAACCAUAUCAUUUAGAGGAAGGUGAAGUCGUANCA
rnacentral:rRNA from 1 species